AUUACAUGCACUUCUCACACACAUUUUUGGUGGUUGUUGUUUUGGUGAGGGGAGAUCAGCAUUUUAAUUCUUGAACCAAGGCUACACAAUGUCUUAGGCCAGCCCAGACUAAAAUUACCAUAAUGCUCCAGCAGUAUUAUUAUCAGUGCAUGAUGGCAGUUUUAGUUCCACAGCCUCUGGGAAAUCUAUUUUUGACGCACCCC